rnacentral:lncRNA from 1 species
GGAAAAUAUUUGUACGCCAAGAAAUGGUCGGUCAGGAAUACAUAAGUCCUUGCUAUCGAAUGGUCGGUCGGGAAAGAUCAUAUUCCCAUCCAGCGAUCGGUCGGAAAAUAUUGCCAACCAACAAGGGGUAGUAAACGGGCCUGCGCGCGUGGUCGAAAACUUUUAGCGCGCCCCGGCCGUGAAUUUUUGUCUCUCAACCAAAUACUACAGAGGGCGCCUCACUCAAUCCCCUUUCUCCUCAUCUCGAUCCACCCCUAGGAUUCCGAUUCACGCCGCCGCUAGGAUUCCGAUUCACGCCGCCGCCGCUGCUAGGAUUCCGAUUCAAGCUGCCGCUGCCGUCGACGGCCAUCGCGGGAGGCGUCCCUGCUUCCACAUUGAUCCACGGCCGAAGUCGUUGCUCCUUCCACCACCGGCCACCUGAAUCGCGAGCGUGCGGUCCUCCUUCCACCGGCCGCCUACUGAGGCCACCUCGCCCGCUCCUUCCCAUGGCGCCACUUCCCCAACCCAUACCCAGCUCCCUUUCCCUCCUUUCCAUGGCAGAAGCUCUGAAGAGGGGGGGGGGGGGGGGGGCGGGCCAGCCCCCAUCCCCCCGGGGGCCCGAAAGGGGGGGGGGGGCCCCCCCCCCCNNNNNNNNNNNNNNNNNNNNNNNNNNNNNNNNNNNNNNNNGGGGGGCGCGGCAAGGGCCCUUAGCUCCCGGUGGCCUGAAGCAAGGGGUGCGGCCUCUGCUCCGUCAGUAUCUGGCGAACUAGACAUGGGUAAGAUCUUCCUCUCGCAUAUGGUCUCCCUCUUCUCCAGCCCAUCAGGAGGAAGAAAUGGGCAAGCG